rnacentral:rRNA from 1 species
CACACAGUGGUAGUGUCUUACCUGAAGACGGUGCGCUAACCGCAAGGAGGCAGCCGGCCACGGUAGGGUCAGCGACUGGGGUG